rnacentral:snRNA from 1 species
GUGCUCGUUUUGGCAACUCAUACUAAAAUUGGAAUGAUACCGAGAAAAUUAACAUGUUCUUGCUCAAGGAUGACACACAAAUUCAUGAAACAUUCCAUUUUUUC